rnacentral:rRNA from 1 species
UACGUAGGCAGCGAGCGUUGUUCGGAGUUACUGGGCGUAAAGAGUGCGUAGGCGGUUUUCUAAGUUUGGUGUGAAAUCUCCCGGCUCAACUGGGAGGGUGCGCCGAAGACUGGAAGGCUUGAGUAUGGGAGAGGUAAGCGGAAUUCCUGGUGUAGCGGUGAAAUGCGUAGAUAUCUGGAGGAACACCGGUGGCGAAGGCGGCGUCCUGGACCAACACUGACACUGAGGAGCGAAAGCCAGGGGAGCAAACGGG